rnacentral:lncRNA from 1 species
GGAAAGGGAAAGGAAAAGGAAAAGGAAAAGGAAAAGGAAAAGGAAAAGGAAAAGGAAAAGGAAAAGGAAAAGGAAAAGGAAAAAAAAGAAAAAGAGAAAGAAAAAGAGCCUGUUAAAUCAAAACUCAUUCCCUUGGUCUUUCUAGUAAUGUACACUGUGUAAUAAUUCAGUGUAUGAAACAUUCAGCGCCCUCAAUGCUAGCAAUAUUCUUGAAAGGAAGAAAGGAGUUUGUUUUGACUGUACUAUAUCAGAUGUCCUUCCUAAGACUUUGUCUCUUUCUUUAUCUGUCUUUUUUCCCCCAUUGCCACUGCUCUAUUUGCUCUGGCCAACAACCACACAUGUAGCCCUGGUCUGAGUUAGGGUUCCAGUACAUUGGCUCACCUCUGCCUUCUUAGUCCAGCUCCUACCACGUGCCAGGUAGUACUACAAUCUGCUUUGAAACUCACAUACUUCAGUGUUUCCAUUCCACUGCAAAUUGAGGGUGUUAUUUGAUUCUGCAAAAACAAAUAUUACAAAGGUGUUGCCUCUUGAAGUUUUGGAACUUCUGUCACCAAUGCACAAGGGUCUGUAAUUACAGCAAUGUACCCCUCCAUCCUCCACAGCUGCCUCCAGUAGUGUUCCCCCUCAUUAGAAAUCUAUCCUAUAAUUUCGGAUUAGAACUGGAACAUAAGGUAGUAAUUGGCCCUUUCUGUUCUAGUCUUUGCAGAUUUUACAUUGUCAAGAUGAGGCAUUUGUUGUUCUUAAACCUUUCCACCCCUUGGCAAUAGGUCUUGAACUUCAUUUUGCUUUGCUUCGCCUACAUUGGCAGUUGCCCUGGUUCUGUUGCUGUGAGAGCUGGCUGCAGACAGCUUUUCUUCAGGAAGAGCAAGCCUCAAUUCUCUUGGUAAUAGUACAGCCACUGAUUUAUUUAUUUUUUCUCACCACUUGACGUUCAGCUUUUUGCUACACUGGUGACCUGCGUCACUUUCCCAUUGCUACUCUGGCUGUGAAAAUCAUAGAAGAAAGUGAUGUGAAAUUAUAGGCUUUGUCAGUGCCCUGUUUUAAAUAUCUUCUUUCUGGAAAAAGGAACAAGGUAUGUAUCUCAUUAUUCAUUAUUUUUAAAAUGACAAAUCCUUUAAAAUUGUGUUUGUUCCCUGUAUAGGAGAGAAAUAUGAGAGACUUUCUCGAGCUCAGAAUAUGUUAUUGCUGCCUUAGUGCUGGUCAGGUCACACCUGGAGUGCUGGGUCCGUUUCUGGGCCCUCCAGUAUAAAAAAAGAUACAGACAUACUGGAAAGAGUUCAACGUAGGGCCACGAAGAUGAUGAAGAGGCUGGAGCAUCUCUCCUAUGAGGAAAGGCUGAGAGAUCUGGGCCUGUUCAGCCCGGAGAAGAAGCAGUUCAAGGGGUCUCAUUCACACCUAUGUAUAGCUGAAGGGAGGGUGCCAAAAGGAUGGGGCCAGGCUCUUUCCAGUGGUGCCCAAUGCCAGGACAAGAGGCAAUGGACACAAACUGGCAUACAGGGGGUUUCCCCUGAGCGUCAGCAAAUAUUUUUUCAGUGCACAGGUGCUGGACUGCUUGCAUGGGCUGCCCAGAGGCUAUGGAGUCUCCUCCUUGAAGAUCUUCAAAAGCUGCCUGGAUGUGGGCCUGGGUGCCCUGCUGUGUAUGGCCCUGCUUGUGCAGGAAUUGGAGCAGAUGGACCCAGAGGUCCCUGCCCACAUCAGCCAUUCUGAGUUUGCAUGAUUCUUUCUGAAAGUCAUAGUAAUAGGUGCUGAGCUGUAUUUGCUAGUAUGACAUAGCAACAUAUAGGUAAUGUAAAUUUGUGAGCGAGCUCCUUUUAGUUAUAUAUUUAUUUUGAUUUCAAUUGGCAAAAUACAAAAAAGCAUUUCUUAUUCUGGCCUCCAAACUCAUUUAACAGUAGAUUAAGGAAGCAGACCAACCCCCUAAAAGCUUUAGCAAACCAUGAGCUUUUUCCCAUAUGCCAGGAUGCAUCACCAGAUUUUUUCAAGAGAAGAAAAUGGACAAAAAGGCCUCUGCAUGAGUGGGCUGGGGGCAGAGGUCUGUAUAUAUGUACAUGGAGCUGCAGCACUUAAACUGUUUCCUCCUCUGAUCUUUCUGCCUCUUGCCUCAGUGUCUGCAUGGCUGAGGUGUGUACACGCGUGCACAUGUGUGUAUACAUGUAUGUGUUGCUCCAGAUAUAUGUGCACUGGGCUUGACUGACUACACACUGUGUUGGCUGUUCCUGAUGUUUCCUGUUUCAGCUUUCCCACCCCUUGAACCACCAACACUGAUUCCCUUCUGCUUUAUUGCUGCCAAUACACCAUACAAUGCCAAAGAUACGUUUUUAAGUAAGUUCCACAGGCAACGCCAUCUUUCUUUCUAAUUACCCCCAGUUAGUGGGGAUAAACAUUUCCUCAGAGGGUACAAUGUUAAACCACAUUCCAGUAUUCAUCCUGACUUUCUGGUAAGGCUAAGCUUUAAAAAAAUGAUCUUCUUCCCAGUGGGAAGCAGAAAAUUCUGUCCUCAAAAGCACUUCUGAAAAUCAAGCCUUUUCUUCUGGAGGAAAGUGUGCAGCUUGCAGUUGCCGACUCUCUUCAUGUGUUCCCAUGAGUGGAGAUGGCCCUAAUCUGACUUUUCCUUUCUCAUCAUACUCGGUGCAUUUGCUUCCUUUAUGGGCUGUGUUUGUUUAGUUUCUUGCUGUUUGCCGUAUUAACUUCUUUAUUUCUUUUUCGUCAGGAGUUUGAUGCAUAUUUUAAUGUAGAGUCUUGAUUCUGUACCCUGCUCUCCUCUGUUCAGAUGUUACUCAAUUAAAGAAUCACAUUUAAAUACAAAAGAAUCAUACUCACUGCAUUGUACAAUCACUUCAUUUUUGGAGUAAGAAAGAAUAUGAAAAAUCCAGAGUUAGUAAUGCCCUCCUUUCACAAGAAUCCAAAUCUUAGCAUGCUUUAAGGCCACUGUGCAAUAUGAUCCUCUUAUCUCUGGUAAAAGUCUGAGGUUUAUCACCAGCUUUUGACACAGAUGAACUCAAGAUAUUGCUGCUUUUCCACAGAAGCUCUCUGGGAUCAGUGGGGUCAUUCUGAAGAUGAAAACUAUCUGCACUCCCUGCAGAAAUACCUGAAAGGGCCGUAAUGGUUAUCUGCCUUGCUUCACAUCCCCUCAUGGAAAGCUGGUUGUCAGUAUUUGUGCCAGUGGUAUUUCAUUUUCUGAGACACCUCAGAUUUUAAAAUAAACAGUUCUGUGUAUCUCAUAAUUGGUACUGAACAGCACACUCACCAGGCUAUAGCCCAGCCUGGGAAUGGUGAAUGUCAGAAGGAGAGAAAAAAUAACUCAAAGUAAGUUUGAAAAAAAGAUGAGUAGCACUGACAGAUGGUACAGCCCUUUUAGGAAAUCACGACUUUCCCAUCCUUCUACCAGUUGCUAAAUAGAGACUACAGAUGAGAGAAUUAUCAAGAAUUUCAGCAGUCAGGUAGUACUUAAUGCUGAUGGUCUUAGGCACCCUUGAAGCCAUCUGACACAACUUCCAUCUUAUCCAACCUGCUUCUUGGAUGGUGGAAUUCAUCUCUGCAGUUCUUUAUUUCUAAAUGGGAAGAGAGGGAUACCCUACUUUUUAGACUGAUCAGAAGGCUGCUCAGAUGCAUUACCAAGUCCACUGUGCAGUUGUGCAAAGGCAAAUGGGAACGUGUCAGAAUACAUUUCUCUGCAGACAAGUGAUUCCACAUGCAGUAGCUGCUCUCACCCAGAACAGUGAUCUUCCUCUUUGCCACUUUCCAUGGGACAGGGUUCAUCCCCAUUAAUGACUGAAUAUCCUUCCCAAGCACUCCAGGGAUAGUUGCCAAGAGACGGUGAUGUAACGCUCACAACAGAAAUGAAACUCAGAUGAGUUGAGGGGAAUGUGUAUGAAGAGCAUGCAUUUGCUACAGAAAUUCAUCUGGCAAAGAAAUAGGAAAAAAAAAAAAAAAAAAAAGCAGAUCACUGCUUGCUUUGAAAAAAACAUUGCAAAAUGCAUAUUGUUUACUUCAGCCUUCCUUCAGCAGAAGCAGUGACAUAUUGUCUGCAAAAUUACCACCCGCAUCCCCUACUUUAACUGUAUUGUAUCCAAUAAUUCCUCUAAAGAGAAAAGCUGUAGAUACCUUCCAGAGAUACAGUCCUCAGAGCUGGACAAAGACAUGUUUACAGCAGGCUCCUCUCAGUGACACAUAGAAUGCUACGAAGGGGCAAUAAGGUGGCCAUGUUCCCUCCACUCUCUCAUCUGAGAUAUAACUGGCCCUUGUUUCAGCAAAAGGACAGAGAAAAAGUUGCCCUUUAUUUGGUAGCCAUACACAACAGAGACAGUUACGAUGGGAAGGGAUAGAACUUAGUGAUGAGCUUACUGGAGAACUCCCUUACUUAAGAAUUGAGAGCUGUCAGCAGAGGUGUUUGCAUGUGUGGGAUGGAGUCCCUCAUCAUCACGGAGAGGGAUGCAGUUACAUGCUACAAACUAAUAAUUCACAAAGGGCCUUCUGAGAGGCUAAAAAGUACCAGGCUUCUACAUUUCUGUAGUGAAGAGCACUAAAGAGAGCCCAAUACACCUCUUGGUGUUACUGGAAGAAACCAUUUUGCUGUAGUAUAAGCAAAGUUUAGGUGAUUGGCAGCCAAACAUGCUGCAGAUUAACUGCACGUGAUUAUGACACGUGAGAUGGAAAGCACAGAAAAAAAACGAAGACUGGGAGAGCUGGCAAGGAGGACAGGGCCAGUGAUGGCAGCUGGAGAAUAUCCAUAAAUUUUAUGGCUACAAAGCAAGAUAAUGCAAAGCAAAGGCUGUAAAAGUGACUAAUAUGAAUGAAGGCCACUACAGAGAAGGAGCAGGGUUGGCUGAAUGCAGCAGCCAAUGAAGACGUGCUUUUGGGCUGAAGUACAGGCUUGCUCCCCAGAUCUUCUUCAGGACGCAUUGUGUCUCCUACUCCCUAUAACAAAAGCUUUCCCAUCUAACAUUCCUCUUUCAUUUUUUUUUUGGUUUGACUCUGACUGUAACGACCUCAUUUUCAGCUGGCACUAUAUAGUUUUUGCUGUGUGGUCUGUAACUUUCUCAGCCAGGCUGUAAGCUCCAUGGUAUGCUUGCUACCCCAGCUGAAUUUCUAUGCCUGGCCUUCUAUACUGUGCUGUGCAAACCGUGAUAGUAGUGAAGUAUGAAGCCUGGUAUGAAGACACAGUAUCAAAAGCACACCAUGGGUGUUGUAUGUAUGUAUAAUAACCUACACAGCUGUAAAAAUGAGUCGUAUGUGUACAUUACAAAAGGGUGGGAUUUACAACUUGUACAUGCAGAACUAUUCUUGCAAAAGAGUUGAAAUAGUAGCAGAGCAGUUGCCUAGGCAAAAAGCAGUGAUAAAAGAAAGUUCAUUUUAAUUUGGAGAGGACUUCCUGUGCAAGAAGAGCACUAUGUUAUGUUCAUGCAGAAGUGAGCGGUGCCACCACAAGACUAAAAUGACCCAUAUGCACUUGAGAUCUCAUCAAAUUCAGAUGCAGUCAAGAAAUUUAAGCAUCAAAAAACACUUUUUUUUUUUCCCCCUAAAACAUUUGUAGCUCACAGAAAGCCUCCCCACUUGGUGAGAAGCCAUGAUGUAUUUCUAAAGCAUGAAAUAUCUCAGGCAGAGCUGUCACCAGUGAAAAACAAUUUGGACUCAAGUGAAAGAAGUGGUAAAAAAAAGUGUAAUAGGAAGCCAUUAUAGGCACUGGGGGAGGAUGAGAAAGCAGAACAGGAAAUGUUUGUGCAGAUAAAGGAAGCCUGCAAAGCAACUACAACAGGGAUCAUAGGAAUUUCAAUCUGCCUGUCACUGUGUGGAAUUGUAAUUAGGAAAUCUCAAAUGUGUGCGAAAAACUGAGGACUUAGCAUAGCCCCGAAUCACAUUUAGACAGUUAUUGGGUGUGCAGCUAGAGAUAUAGCUCAGAAAGCUCACAGCCUGGAGGUCCUUGCUUCUCCCUCAGCUCCAAACGAGUGCAGGUCGGAAAGCUUCAGUUCAUUGACCUUCUGGGUUAUACCACCGCCUGUUUUCUCAGGCCUGCUGCAGAUGGCUGGGGGCUGACAUGUUCACAGAGGAUGUCAUUCAUUUAGCUUGUGGAGAUUGAUUCUUGUCAUGUUUGUGGAGUGAAUGAACUAUAAAUUGUUGAGAAGAUGACUUUGUAAACUACAGGAUGGUCAAGUCUUUAUUCUUCUGGAAGGUGUUGUGAUUAGGGGUUUUUAUCACUUGAGUUAUUCUUAAACAAUGAUGGAAUAUAUGAUAAGCAAUAACUACCAUUUUUGGAAACUACAAUAUUCAUUAAAAAAGUGUAGUUCCUUUUCCAGUAAAAAAAAAAAAUAAUUAGAUACAAAGUAUUCUGCUGCCACCAACACCAUCUUGGCUUUUGUGAGGUGCAAAUUCUCCUCUGUAAAAGCGCAUUAAUGGAUGAGAAGCUUUGGAAAAACUUAUUUCUUGCAGUUAUAAGAAACUAUUGCUAAGUGAAAAUUACUGGAUGUUACUCAGGUGAUGUUAAAGCUUCAGUCUGGCACCUCUGGUUUUCUGUCUGUCCCCAACUUCUGCUUGCCUUCUGCUCAGGCUCUGUGUGUCCUCUGCACUGCUGCAGAUCUUUCAUUUUCCACCUGUUCGUUCCAUUGACCACUCAAUGCCCUUGAUGCAUACCUCGUCCAAAAAAAGCACGUUCUGCCAUGAGGUCACAAUAAAUCAAGUGGAAGUCCCCUCUGAUGCUGGUCUUGAACAGACUGGAAGAACACCAGCCCAUACUAAGAGGACUGCUGCCAGGAAAUACAAAGUGUUGCAAGAGUAACCACCAAAUAUUUAUGGGCAGCGGUUCAAAGCAUGUUCUUCUGAGAAGCUGAAGCUGUAAAAUUCACAGUGCUAGGCUUCAUUUUUGCAAAGAUGCAUCUGAACAAGCAUCCGGUAUGUUCUGAUUCAUAGCAUGGGCCUGCUAGUGGAUAAUUCUGCACAACAGUAAUCACUUCAAGAUUUGUCCUGACCGUAUUCAAGAUUCCUGCUAUCAUGCAGAUUGUUCUCCGACAUCUGCUAAUAUGGAUAACACACUUUAUUUGUAGUGUUUUACCUUUCCUGGUCUUCAUUUGCCCUGGUGAAAGAUGAUCUAGCCGAAUAUUUCUCAAGACAUAACUGUUGUGUCUGAUGUCGGGCUUGUUUGUGUAACAGGGAUUGCACUUGAGAGCUUUGCAGGAAUGAGAACAAGCACUGAUUUCACAACGAGGCUGAGAUUCACAAAGGUUUCAGUGAAACAGUGGGAGAAGAGUGCAGAUAGUAAAUUCCACUUCCCUCUGAUGCAUGUAUACGCUGGUUUCCAAAAGCUCUGCAGACAGGUUUUCAAGAACUAAUUGGAGAAUCAAACUUUUUCCUUGGAAACUCUCAUUAGCAGCCUGCAGAAAUGCCUGCUUUAUUUUAAUGAGCCUUUGUAGUAGUUUCACACAACUGUUUUCAUAAUCUAAAAGCUCUUCUUUAAAUAGCUGUGACAAUCAAGCCAAUUAUGCUCCCAUGGACCAAUUUUUAGUUAUCUUUGGUUUGCUUCCACUAGAAACAUAUUUGUGUCCCUUUGCUGUCAUCUGAAAUGUUUUUUUGGAAUUCAGUACUAUUUAUCUCACUAAUUACCCUUUAACUUGCUUUGCUUAUUUUUACAAAUUUCCUUGUUUUCCCCCUACUAGAUUAUUUAUUUUUUUAAGGUUUACUCCUUAUUGUUCUACUGACCUGCGAGGCUCUGAGGCUUUGGGAUAUUUUUCCUAUUUAAAAUUCAAAAGGAAACAUUUCAAUUUCCUUUUUUCUUCUUCUUCUUUUUUUUUUUCCCCAAAUAUUUUCUGCCAGCAGUUCCCUUUGAUACGAUUGCUUAAUUUGGUUUCCCCAACUCAUAGAAAUUUAUGUUAAAGUGGGAGUAGAAGAGAUUCUUUUGGCAGCCUGCCUGCUGAACUCUAGAAAUGCCACUUCACAUAGUCCACGCUUUGGAUGGUUGAGUGAGUUCCAGGGAAUAGAGCUGGGAAGACAACCCUGCCGACUGAAGCCUUUUAAUCCGAGGAGAGGGGAAGCCAACCUCCAGAGCGCUUGAUCCUAAUCAUCAUGUCUGCUUUAUUUUGACUGCUUCCUCUUGGCAAAGUAGUUCAUUCUCUUUGCCACUUAAUUUGUUGAUCACUGUGAUAACUCUGCCAGCAGGCACUAAUGGUGCCACUGGAUUUGGUGACACUGACACCCGUAUGCAAAUAAACAGAGAGGAUAAUGCCACGCAGACAACUACGUAGUUAUCAGGUAUUAAUGACUUUAGAGUGGUGCUUACCUGGAUCUCCUUUGAGACAGGAAUCUGACAGAGAAAGCAUGACCCUGUUGUUACUCCGUGGUCAUAUCCCAAACAAGAUGAUCCUCAUUAUACAGCUGAGAAGUCCUGAAAGCAUUUCAGUCUUUCCUAAUGGGAAAACAAACUGCAGGUUAACACUCGAUCUUUGUAUGGAAAAUGUUAAAAUUCACAGCAGAUUUCCAGACGUCUGCUUCCCAACUGUUUUUAAAAUCUAGGUCAUUAUAUAUAGGUGGCAUCAGAUAAGUCUCCAUAGAAGUUUCAGAAUGUUUUAAACAGAAAAACGAGUCAGAUCACUGUGAGGCUGGUAACUGUCUAACACAAGUUUUUCAUGCGUACAGUCCAAG